AGUGAACGCUGGCGGUAGGCCUAACACAUGCAAGUCGAACGGCAGCACAGUAAGAGCUUGCUCUUACGGGUGGCGAGUGGCGGACGGGUGAGGAAUACAUCGGAAUCUACUUUUUCGUGGGGGCUAAAGCAGGGACACUUACGCCAAUACCGCAUACGACCUACGGGUGAAAGCAGGGGACCUUCGGACCUUGCGCGAUUGAAUGAGCCGAUGUCGGAUUAGCUAGUUGGCGGGGUAAAGGCCCACCAAGGCGACGAUCCGUAGCUGGUCUGAGAGGAUGAUCAGCCACACUGGAACUGAGACACGGUCCAGACUCCUACGGGAGGCAGCAGUGGGGAAUAUUGGACAAUGGGCGCAAGCCUGAUCCAGCCAUGCCGCGUGUGUGAAGAAGGCCUUCGGAUUGUAAAGCCCUUUUGUUGGGAAAGAAAAGCAGCAAGUUAAUACCCCGCUGUUCUGACGGUACCCAAAGAAUAAGCACCGGCUAACUUCGUG
rnacentral:rRNA from 1 species